rnacentral:rRNA from 1 species
AGAGUUUGAUCAUGGCUCAGGACGAACGCUGGCGGCGUGCUUAACACAUGCAAGUCGAACGGAAAGGCCCCUUCGGGGGUACUCGAGUGGCGAACGGGUGAGUAACACGUGGGUGAUCUGCCCUGCACUUUGGGAUAAGCCUGGGAAACUGGGUCUAAUACCGAAUAGGACCGCAUGCUUCAUGGUGUGUGGUGGAAAGCUUUUGCGGUGUGGGAUGGGCCCGCGGCCUAUCAGCUUGUUGGUGGGGUAAUGGCCUACCAAGGCGACGACGGGUAGCCGGCCUGAGAGGGUGUCCGGCCACACUGGGACUGAGAUACGGCCCAGACUCCUACGGGAGGCAGCAGUGGGGAAUAUUGCACAAUGGGCGCAAGCCUGAUGCAGCGACGCCGCGUGGGGGAUGACGGCCUUCGGGUUGUAAACCUCUUUCAGUAUCGGCGAAGCUCCAGGAUUUUUCUUGGGGUGACGGUAGGUACAGAAGAAGCACCGGCCAACUACGUGCCAGCAGCCGCGGUAAUACGUAGGGUGCGAGCGUUGUCCGGAAUUACUGGGCGUAAAGAGCUCGUAGGUGGUUUGUCACGUUGUCUGUGAAAACUCACAGCUUAACUGUGGGCGUGCGGGCGAUACGGGCAGACUGGAGUACUGUAAGGGAGACUGGAAUUCCUGGUGUAGCGGUGGAAUGCGCAGAUAUCAGGAGGAACACCGGUGGCGAAGGCGGGUCUCCGGGCAGUAACUGACGCUGAGGAGCGAAAGCGUGGGGAGCGAACAGGAUUAGAUACCCUGGUAGUCCAA